GCUCCGGACUUUGCGACGGCGGCGGCGGCUGUUGCUGCUGACCCCCUCCUGCCCCGUUGGCCUGCAUGGCGCUGCUGCUGAUCUGAAACAUUGUUUUAGAUGCACUUGUCUUCGUGUUUUAAGGAGUGAAAACUUCCCCUUCUGAGCAGCAAAGAUGGUACCUUAAAAAUGAAUGCUCUUUUUUAUGGUGCCACAGGACUCUGCUGUAUUUGCUACACCAGACUAAAGUGUGCAUCUGCCUUGAGGUCAUUUCAGUCCUCCUGAGAAACCCUAAUUCUAAGUGGAUCUCACCAACUGCAAAAUGGAACAUAAACAAUAAUUGAAUCUACCCUACACCGGGCUGCCAUUGUGGGUACAAGAUCUGUCUGUUGGGUCAGUGCAUACUGUCAUGUCUAUGUGAUAAACAUAUGUUGAGCUUGAAAGGAAGAGAUAAUAUCAUUGGUGCUGGAUCUGAAGGACCUGAAGGACUACCUUCAGAAUCAUGUUGCUUUUGUGUAGAAACUAUGUGAAAUUAUCCAGGCAUUCUUAGGUAUAUCAGUAUGAAAUGAAUUAGCUACAUCAUACUGAUAUAAAUCUAAAAAGUAAGUAAAAUAUAUUCAUGACUUUUGUGCUCAUUAGUGGAGAAAGACAUAUUUGAAACAGAAUUUGACAAGACAUAUUUGAAACAGAAUUUGACAAGAAGAUAAAAAUAGCUCUGAGCUGCCAAUUCAUUUCAACAGAUCUAAAUAUACUGAAAAGAUCCUGAUAGUGUCAUCAAAUGUUACAGCUAUAUUGUGAAAUAAGUUGAUGCAACUGUUUCUAAAUAGUUUAAGGUCUUUCCUAGCAAUCACAUAAAUUUAUACUGAACUUGUAGAGUCCGGAAAUAAAUAAUAAUAUGUAUGCCUUCUUCAGGGACAUUCAAUAGGAACUAUUCCCAACAUAGAGUACAUAAGACUAUAGCCAGCCAGAGCUGGGUAUUUUCUUAGAAAAGUGCCCAUUUGCAGGAUAUAUUAUCUAUGCAGUAAAAGCAUGUGUUUUUCUGUGUGUACAGUUUGUACUUGUAAAAGGGAAAUAGUACUUUGGGAUCUUUUUCCCUCUUAAGGCAAAUACAGCUACUUCUACUUUUUGUGCUUUCUCUGAACAUCCAAAGUGCCAUACUUUAUAACCAGGAAGUAGUGAUAUGAAUGUACCCCAUGUUUGUUUUUUAAAAGUGCCAUUAGGUGUGGAGGUCAUUGGUGAUGGCUCAGCAAUGUGUCUCCUCCUGAACAGGUCAAAUAGUAGCCUCAGGUUUAAAGUUUCUGACUGCUGAAAGGAAUAAUGGACAUAAAAUGGGCACUUUUUAUUAUUUAAAUGUAUAUGCUGCUUACAUUAUCUGUAACAAUAGAACAUUAAAAAUAACAUCCAAAAAUAUAAAGAAAAAGAAUCCAAAAAAUUAAAAUUAUUACCUAGAGACUUUUAAAAUAAAUGAUUUAAAAUUAAGAUAAACCUAUAAGCCAGAAAUACGGACAAGUUAAAAUCAAAAUUUUCCACUAAAUCCACUAUUAAAAUAGGAGGAAAAAAAGAUAUGUCUUGCUUGAUGCAAAAAUGAUAACAGUGAUGGCACCAGGCAUACCACUCUGGGAAGCCUAUUCCAGAGAUGGUGUACAAACACUGAGAAAGACCUUCUUCCAGCCACCAUCCCCCUCAUCUCCGUGGAAGAUGCCUCCUUGAGAAGGACCUCCUGGCUUGAUCUUAAUGGACAGGGUAGGGACGUAUCGGAGAAGGCAGUCCUUCAGAUGCCCAAGGCCCAAGCUGUUUAGGGCUUUACAUGUAAGCACAAGCACUUUAAAUUGAGCCCAAACCUCUACUGGUAGCGAGUGUAGAUGAUAUAAAACUGGUGUAAUAUGGGCCUAUGAGCUAGUUCUUGUUAAAAGUUGUGCUGCCCUAUUUUGAACUAGUUGGAGUAUCUGGACCAUCUUCAAAGGCAUCCCCACACAGAACACAUUGCAAUAGUUCAACUGGGAUGUUAUCAUGACAUGUGUGACUCUGGCUAAGCUUUGUCUGUCAAUAUAUGGUAGAUAGUAGUUGAUAAAUUAGCUGCAGGUGAAGGAAGGUUCUCCUGGCCACAGAGUCCCCUUGGGAUUAAAGUGAGAGUUUUUGGUCCAGGAGCACUCUGGCUAUGAGCCCUGUCCUUUAUUUAUUUAUUUAUUAUUUAUUUAAAACAUUUUUAUGCCGCCCCCAUCGCAACAAAGCCUUGGGGCGGCUUACAACAAAAACAAAGU